CUCGUUGUUCAAUUAUUUACUCAAGCAAUAAAACUUCUCUUCGUUGUAUUUAUCAAAUCACAAAAAGAUGAAAAAGCAAAGCUCAUCAGCUGACUGGCUUUAUCAUCUACAUUUUUGGAGAGCCGCAAAAUAACAAGCAAUGGUCUUUUUGAGCAGUCGUAUGGAUUAUUUAAAUCAUGAUAAGAAAUGCAGGUGCAUUUUUAUUAUUUGCUGAAUCCUUUCCAAAAUUUUUCAUUCGGUAACUAUAAGUUCUUAUUAUCUAGAGCGUGGGAAUUGUUUUGAUGAGUGCAUCGUUCCAAAAAUACGACUGGAAACCGACACGUAGAGCAUGUCAUUGCGGCGAAAAACAGCUUCACUAAAAUUGUGCUACUAUCUGACUCUCUCUCUCAUGGUACAUUUCGUUUCGUCACUAAACCAUUUUAAUAGAACCUGAGACACAUUGGCGCACUACAGAACAAGACCAUCAUUAAUUCACGGAUCAUCCCUCAGUUGUUAUUUAUUCAAUUCCUCCUGUCCCUCAGCAACAAUCUUGGAUCGGUCCAAAGAAAAAGAAACUAUUUGGAGAUGCAGCAAAACUUCUGACACUCCAAAUGAUAAUGUUGUAAUUCCUCUAAGGAAAGAAAUGAAGAAAAACUUCAGUCAAGGGUUACCCACACCAGCUCCUAAACUUAGUGUAAAAAGGUAAGCAUGGCUUGCUAAGCACCUGUAUAUUCUGAAGACAAAGAAGUGUCAAUUUAGUGUGCUGAAUGUAGGAUUGAAAAUUGCUGAAUCAAU
rnacentral:lncRNA from 1 species